GCCAUAUGGCUGCCUUGAGUUAGAUACUGUUAUUAUCCUCAUUUUACACAGGCUUAGAAAAUUUGGGCAUUCUGCCCAGUGUCUCAACUAAUUAAGUCCAAUGCCUAGGACUUGAAAUCAGAUUGAAUCUGACCCUGGGGCCUGUCAUCCUCACCACUACUCUGCACCGUAUUCACCAGAACAGAAGCAACAGUCCUGAUUUUUGUUCUCAAGCUUUAGGUACAGCUUUGGAAGCCGAGAGUGAAAAUGGCAGCCUCUCAAUCUCCACCCUGGAGGAGCCAAGAACUCGGCGCCCCACGCCUCAGUGAGCCCCCAAAGAAAAGCAGUCAGUUCACUCCCGUCUCCGCGGUGUCUGGCAGCACUCCGUGCUCACUUGGCCUGUGACUGAGCGUUUCUCUCUCUGGCACCCGACCCCAGGUGGAGUCUCCAAACCCAGCAGAUCCCUGCAGUGCGCUCCCACAUGGCUCCUCCCAGGAGAAGAAGAAUACAGUCAAAAGAGCUGCAUUUGGGGACUGAAUUGCCAUUUCCCCUUCUCCAAUCAGAACAUGGCUGAUUUUAUCUGAAGAUACCAAAAGCUAUAGCAACAAACAAACCAAGCCCAAAUUUCCUCUGACACCUCUGGUACCUCAGAAGGAGCUUGGGAAUUGAACCUAGUCUUGCAAGUGCUGACUCUGUCACUUACUAGCUCACCAAUGACACAGUCUCUUCUUAACAAAGGAAAUCGAGAGUUUGCAUUAAAAACCAUGGGAUCUGCAAUCUUUCCUUCCUGUAUACAAGAAGGAUGGACAUAAAGAUUAGUACAGAUGCAAAUAAAAGUCCUGCCAAAUAAUCCUAUCACUGCUGUCCUUGAGGUCAGUGAUUUUGACUUUCUGGGUAUCUGUUUAUGUCUCUUCCUCCUCCCCGAUGCCUUCACUUUUCCCUCUAUUACCCUAGCAUUAAACUGUGAACACUUGCUCUCUCAAAGCCUAAAGAAACAUAAC